CAAAACACAUUUAAGUUCAUGAGCAGUUGCAACAUUCCCAUAGACUUGCAAAAAUUAUUAAGAAAUCGAAAACUACAGUGCAAUUUAUGGAUGCUCAAAGAACAAUUGACAACAUACAAGCAAUGUUACACAACACAAUAAUGCAGAUCACGAUGAGAUGCAUAAACAUGCCAACUAACCAUCCAACUUCUAAUUCGAACAAACAACAAUCACCCGCCUCUUGUCAUUGCCGGCAUAUAAAAAAUUAAAUCCUAUUUCAAUAGCAUACUUGCAUAAUUUCAACCAGAACUCCUCUACACC
rnacentral:lncRNA from 1 species